UCCGGACCUUCACUUAUCCAUGGACUCCAAUCUGCACAUGGAAAUUGGCUUGAAGAUGGACUCAUCAAUUAAUAUUUAAGAAAAUAUUUGAAAACAAAACAAAACUUUGAAAUGGGUAGAUUACAAAACCAAACAAAUGUAGCUGCCGCCUUUAACAUUUGAAAGGAAGGGGUUUUCCGCCACUAACCUCACAUCACCCCUUUCCUCGUUCGUUGUUCUUUCAAUUUUUGAUGAUUUGAUGAACAUGAAUUCAUCCACUUGCCCCUUCUGUCAUUUAUCUGUUCCUUCCUCUGAACUCCAAUCGCACGCCAACGCCCAUUUCGACGACAACGACGCCGAUUAUAGCUCCCCUUCGGCUAGUGGCUUGCAUUUUGAUGGAGUAAGGGGUAGGGAUAAUGUGGUGUUGAAAAUGGAUGAAAAGAUCUCUUGCUUAGUUGAUGUGCAAAGAAGGGGAGAGUUUUACAAGGUUGAAAGAGGUUUGAUGGCCUUGUUGAGAGACUGUUUAGAGUCUGAGGCUGAAAACUCAAGAAGCAUUUUGACAUGUUAUGUUGAUCAUUUCCAGAGCCUUGAGUUUAAGGAUGUUGGAUGGGGUUGUGGUUGGCGUAACAUUCAAAUGCUCAGCUCUCACUUAAUGACACAAAGGCCAGAAGCAAGAGAAGCUAUGUUUGGCCGUUCAGGGUUUGUUCCUGAUAUCCCAUCACUCCAGAGGUGGCUUGAGAUUGCUUGGGAAAGGGGUUUUGAUGCACCUGGCGCUGAACAGUUUAACCAUGCUGUCUAUGGCUCAAAAAAAUGGAUUGGGGCUACUGAAUGUGCUGCCCUUUUGCGUUCUUUUGGUCUCCGGGUGAGGGUAGUGGAUUUUGGUCCUAAGAAAUCUGAGGAACUCUAUUUAUCUGUCCCUGGUUCAAGUGUUGGGGAAAAGGAUCUUGUGAAAAGUAACGAUGGAAGGAAGAGGAAAGCAUCAAAUACUUAUGGACCAAUGGAUAGAUAUGUGUCUCGUGGUGUUGCUCAAACAAGUUGCAACCAAGAUGCAAAGUCAUGUCCUUCCCUUGUACGUGUUGGUGACGCUGUGGAUAACGAAAGUAGUGGUAAUAGGGUGCUAUACGGCAAAGAGAAACUAAAUGAGGGUCACCAAGUUCUUAUGGACUUUGUGUGGAAUUAUUUCUCCCAUAAAAGCACUGUUCAAUUUGAUCACAAGCAUGUUCUUAUCAGUGAGAAAACGCCACUGUACUUUCAGCAUGAUGGACAUUCAAGAACAAUAGUUGGAAUUCAAGUCAAGCAUCAACGGUCUGGAAUUCCACAAUACAAUCUCCUGGUUCUGGAUCCCAGUCAUAGAACUGGUGCUCUAGAAAGAUCUCUUAUAGAGAAAGUUAGAUGGCAGAAACACAUAAAAAGAGGAGUGCACACACUAAAGAAGCCACAAUACCAGUUGUGUUAUGUUGAUCCUGGAAUUGCCAGUGAGGAGGAGAUGGAGAAACUCAAGACAAUUGAUAGUGUCUUCCUUGAAUUUUAAAUAACCAUACAAAGGACCUUGCUACAUAAAGAUGAAACACAUCAAAUUUGAGUUUUAGACGGCUGCAAUUGCACUAAGAUUCAAAACAGGAGCUUGAACAUACUAUUUGCCAAGACCGGUUACUAAUGGAACCAGAAUCGGAGCCAUUAAAGGAAGCAACUGCUUCUACAUUCUACAACCACCACCCUCUUGGUCAUGAUCUUCACUAUUUUAAUUGAUAUUCACGUAAUGGUCCCUACCAUCACUGCUUAUGCUUUCACACUCAAAAUUCAGAUAAUAUCAUAUGUUGAUUCAUUUAGUUAUUUUGGAUAAUUUUAAUGCAAUGUUACUUUGGUUUAUAUAAUUUUUCCCUUUUACUCAAAAACUAUAGGCUCUCAUCCAUGAGAUUUUUCCUUGAGUUGUGAUUUUUCAUUCUUUUAUUUAUAUUUUCUAGAGGCACUUCAUUCACUUUAAUUAUGUGUGUAAUGCCAGUACAAAUUUGCUGUUUGCAAACCA